CUAUACAUGACUCUGCGCAUAUCAAUAAGCGGAGGAAAAGAAACUAACAAGGAUUCCCCUAGUAACGGCGAGUGAAGCGGGAAGAGCUCAAAUUUGAAAUCUUAAAGGUUUUCCCUUGACGAAUUGUAGUUUAAAGAAGUGUUUUCUGUUGAAGUUUUGGUAAAAGUUCUUUGGAAUAGGACAUCAUAGAGGGUGAGGAAUCCCGUAUUUGACCAUUUACUUUCAGCUUUGUGAUACACUUUCAAAGAGUCGGAUUGUUUGGGAAUGCAGUCCAAAAUGGGUGGUAAAUUUCAUCUAAAGCUAAAUAUUGGCGGGAGACCGAUAGCGAACAAGUACCGUGAGGGAAAGAUGAAAAGAACUUUGAAAAGAGAGUUAAACAGUACGUGAAAUUGUCAAAAGGGAAGCGUUUGACACCAGUGUUGUUUUCUCGAAAAUCAAUUAAAAAUGGCUCGAUUUUGUAUUGUUGAGACCUUAAAAGCUCACUGUACAUUUUUCGUGUCUUUUUUAAUGCACUUUUCGUUUAACAAGUCAACAUCAGUUUCUUUUGUUGUAAAAGGGUCAUUGGAAGGUGGCUUUCCUUUCGGAGAAAGUGUUUAUAGCCUUUGGCCUCUGCAAUCGGAGAGACUGAGGUCUGCAGCGUAGACUCUUCGGGGUUAGAUACAUUUGUGCUAAGUUAUAGCAUUUUAUAGACAACUUGUUGACUAUGAUUAGUCUUGUAGCUUACUCGCUUAUGCUAUUUUACCUACGCUUAGGAUGUUGACAGCAGUAUAGACUGU
rnacentral:rRNA from 1 species